GCAAACUUGGUCAUUUAGAGGAAGUAAAAGUCGUAACAAGGUUUCCGUAGGUGAACCUGCGGAAGGAUCAUUAUUGAAUAAUUUGCCUUGAUGGGUUGUAGCUGGCCUUUCGAGGCAUGUGCACACCUGUCUUGACUCUAUUCAUCCACCUGUGCAUUUAUUGUAGUUCUUUGCUCAUUGAUGGUCAAAUAAAGCAGGCUUUAUUGUCAGUUGAAACACACUGGAUUUGAGGAUUGCUCUUGCCAGCUUUUCCUCUCCCCUAGCCUUGUUGAAAAUUGUGCCUUCUUGAGAAAAGAGACUAUGUCUUUUAUUAUAAACCAAUAGUAUGUUGUCAGAAUGUAUUCAAUGGGCCUUUGUGUCUAUAAAAAUUUAUACAACUUUCAGCAACGGAUCUCUUGGCUCUCGCAUCGAUGAAGAACGCAGC
rnacentral:misc_RNA from 1 species